CCUACGGGGGGCAGCAGUGGGGAAUAUUGCACAAUGGGGGGAACCCUGAUGCAGCGACGCCGCGUGAGUGAAGAAGUAUUUCGGUAUGUAAAGCUCUGUCAGCAGGGAAGAAGAAAGACGGUACCUGACCAAGAAGCCCCGGCUAACUACGUGCCAGCAGCCGCGGUAAUACGUAGGGGGCAAGCGUUAUCCGGAUUUACUGGGUGUAAAGGGAGCGUAGACGGCAGGGCAAGUCUGGAGUGAAAGGCAGGGGCCCAACCCCUGGACUGCUCUGGAAACUGUCCGGCUGGAGUGCAGGAGAGGUAAGUGGAAUUCCUAGUGUAGCGGUGAAAUGCGUAGAUAUGACGAAGAACCCCGAUUGCGAAGGCAGCUUGCUGCAGCGGAACUGACGCUGAUGCUCGAAAGCGCGGGUAUCGAACAGGAUUAGAUACCCCAGUAGUC
rnacentral:rRNA from 1 species